rnacentral:rRNA from 1 species
GACGAGCGCUGGCGGCGUGCUUAACACAUGCAAGUCGAACGGAAAGGCCCUGCUUUUGUGGGGUGCUCGAGUGGCGAACGGGUGAGUAACACGUGAGUAACCUGCCCUUGACUUUGGGAUAACUUCAGGAAACUGGGGCUAAUACCGGAUAGGAGCUCCUGCUGCAUGGUGGGGGUUGGAAAGUUUCGGCGGUUUGGGAUGGACUCGCGGCUUAUCAGCUUGUUGGUGGGGUAGUGGCUUACCAAGGCUUUGACGGGUAGCCGGCCUGAGGGGGUGACCGGACCACAUGGGACUGGGGUUAGGGCCCAGCUUCCUAGGGGGGGCAGCGGUGGGGAAUUUGGCACAAGGGCGGGAAGCCGAAGGCGGCACCGCGGGGUGCGGGAUGACGCCCUUCGGUUGGAAACCGGCUUUCGCCUGUGACGAGGCGUGGGUACGGUAAAUGGUAAAGAAGCACCGGCUAACUACGUG